GGGCGACGCGGUAAUUCCAGCUCCAAUAGCGUAUAUUAAAGUUGUUGCAGGUAAAAAGCUCGUAGUUGAUCGGGGGCAUCAGUAUUCAGUUGUCGGAGGUACUGAUACAGGGCUCUUUUGGGUCUUGUAAUUGGAAUACCGAUUGAAUGGCUCAGUGAGGCGUUCGGACUGGCUCGGGGAGGUUGGAGAGAGACUAUCAACUCAAGUUGAUGGAAGGUGGGGUGACUUGUCUGCUUAAUUGCGAUACCCAAGCCGGAAAGCUCGUCAAACUCGUCAUUAGG
rnacentral:rRNA from 1 species